UUUUUUCAGCUAUAUUACCAUUUCGUAUAGGCAAAAAAAUCUGUUACAUAUUACAUUUAUUACAUCAAACUAAAAGGAGAAACUAACUCUCUUCGAAAGUAGUUGAAAAGAGUUAAUAUUUUUUCUGGUGAAAUCAAAUGGAAUUAAUAAGAGUACUUGUUUUUCAACCAUAUAGAUUACCUUCCAGUUUCACUAUUCCACU
rnacentral:lncRNA from 1 species